AUGGACUGGUUCCGAGAACGCUAUUCCUGCAUCCUGCCUCCUUCUUUCCCUGCAUUUGGGUCCACACCAACACCCAAUCGUGACAGAAUGAUCCAGCCACAAGUGGACCCAGCAGAGACAGAUUUGGCUGAGAUGGACAUGGCCGAAAGGACUGCCUACUGGCAGAGCUACCUGCUGGAGACAAGGGAAGAUCUGUUGUAUGGAUGGGAGGACGAGCCUGUUAGGAAUCCCUACUGGGGAACUCGACUGGCUUUGGGAGGACCCCGGAGCCUACAACGAGGUAAAGGUCGGUCAAGAAGGAAGGGUCAGCCCCGCCAGUCUCCUAGCUCCCAGGCUAGCGUUCCUGUGUCUCCUAGCUCCCAGGCUAGCGUUCCUGUGUCUCCUAGCUCCCAGGCUAGCGUUCCUGUGUCUCCUAGCUCCCAGGCUAGCGUUCCUGUGUCUCCUAGCUCCCAGGCUAGCGUUCCUGUGUCUCCUAGCUCCCAGGCUAGCGUUCCUGUGUCUCCUAGCUCCCAGGCUAGCGUUCCUGUGUCUCCUAGCUCCCAGGCUAGCGUUCCUGUGUCCCCUAGCUGUCAGGCUAGCGUUCCUGUGUCCCCUAGCUGUCAGGCUAGCGUGCCAGUCCCGGCUCCCCGCACCCGGCCGCCGCCUGCCCUGCCGCCAGUCCCGGCUCCCCGCACCCGGCCGCCGCCUGCCCUGCCGCCAGUCCCGGCUCCACGCACCCGGCCGCCGCCUGCCCUGCCGCCAGUCCCGGCUCCACGCACCCGGCCGCCGCCUGCCCUGCCGCCAGUCCCGGCUCCACGCACCCGGCCGCCGCCUGCCCUGCCGCCAGUCCCGGCUCCACGCACCCGGCCGCCGCCUGCCCAGCAGCCAGUCCCGGCUCCCCGCACCCGGCCGCCGCCUGCCCAGCCGCCAGUCCCGGCUCCCCGCACCCGGCCGCCGCCUGCCCAGCCGCCAGUCCCGGCUCCCCGCACCCGGCCGCCAACGUCGCCGCCAGUGCCGGCUCCCCGCACCAGGCCGCCAACGUCGCCGCCAGUGCCGGCUCCCCGCACCAGGCCGCCAACGUCGCCGCCAGUGCCGGCUCCCCGCACCAGGCCGCCAACGUCGCCGCCAGUGCCG
rnacentral:lncRNA from 1 species